rnacentral:rRNA from 1 species
GGGUCAGUAGGUCGGUCAUGCCACUUGUAUGCACUGGUCUCACUGAUUCCUCCUUCCUGGUGAACCGUAAUGCCAUUAAUUUGGUGUUGCGGGGAGACUGGACUGUUACUUUGAAAAAAUUAGAGUGUUUAAAGCAGGCUAACGCUUGAAUACAUUAGCAUGGAAUAACGGAAUAGGACGUUCGAUCUUAUUUUGUUGGUUUCUAAGAUUGACGUA